UUAUUUUUAGAGGGAGAGGUAUGACUAUAAAGAGUGCAUAAUCUUAAACACACAAAGUCUAGAAUUAAACAAAGAAAAGUGGUCAUGCAAUCAAGAGCAUAAGAACAUAGCUAAAGAGAGUGUCAGAUAGCAUGAGAGAAAUCAAAUAGAAGGUCUUGCAAAACUUAUCAAGAACCAGAGAACAUAGAAAACAUGAGACGAACAUUAUAAAUUAGGGUUUUUGUAGUCAAACCAGUUCAAACUUCAAACACGGUAAGCAAAUCAAUCACACACAGGGUGUGGAAACCCCUAAAUUUUAGGGUUUCCGCUAUAGGUCAAAUGUAAAGAUGAAAGCAUUCAAAAUCAGGCAAAGUAAACUCAGGAAGAUCCAAAGGAACACAAUCUUUUCAUGGAAACAUAAUGAAAGAAAAUACAGUAAAUGAGAUCGCUAGGAAACCCCUAAGAGGAAAUACAGUAAAGAAAAAUACAUAGAAACCAUAGUGGAAACACUUAGGAGUUACAGCAAAGCAAAAUAACAAAAGAAAUCACAGUAGAACAAGUAAAAAUCAAGGAAACCCUAGGUUUGAGAAGAUGAACAGUUUUGAAAGCAGAAACUUAAAAUGAUGUAAAACAUACUUUGAAAACCUCAAAAAUAGCAUGGAUCUAAAGUAGAUCUAGAGAGAAACAAGAAAACCUAGAAAUGGCAUAAGGUUUAAGAGAAACCCUAGAAAUGAGAAAGGCCUGGAAAAGGGGCUGGUCCGAGUCGAGAUGGGCUCAUAAGGCUAAGACACGCCGGAGAUGAGCCGGAGAUAGUCGUAGAACUUGAAUCGGCAAAGGUCCAGGUUCGAUUCUUCGUGGCCAAGGUCAUGGAACUUCAGUAAUCAAGUGCGAGGAGCCUUAGGAGACUGGUGGAUGGUGAAACCACCAUGGAUUUAGGUCAGAAAGUGGCUGAAGAAUGUGAAGGGAGCUCAUCAGAGAGGAUAGGAGGUGGAAGGUUCCAGAGAGAGUGGGAGAUAGAAA
rnacentral:lncRNA from 1 species